rfam:Picea glauca, whole genome shotgun sequence.
AAAAAAUAGCGUAAUGCACCCGAUCACAUUAGAACUCUAUAGUUAAGCGUGCUCGAGCUAGAGUAGUACUAGGAUGGCUGACCUCCCGGGAAUUCCUAGUUUUUUA